rnacentral:tRNA from 1 species
GGAGAAAUGGCCGAGUGGCUGAAGGCGCGCCCCUGCUAAGGGCGUAAGGGCUAAUCCCCCUUCUAGAGUUCGAAUCUCUAUUUCUCCGCCA